AUCUCUCCCAUUGUGCGUGCGCCCAGG
rnacentral:sRNA from 1 species